UAGCUUCUUCUCCUUUAUUCCUCGCCAACGUUUCGGAGCAUGGUGGGAAAAGGAUGUCAGGGAAAUGGUUCACUACUAUUUCGUCCAUUUGUGAAAAAGUAGUAGUGAACGAUUUCUCUGACACUCUUUCCCCACCAAGCUCCGAAACGUUGGCGAGGAAUAAAGGAGGAGAAGCGAA
rnacentral:pre_miRNA from 1 species